rnacentral:rRNA from 1 species
UACGUAGGGUGCAAGCGUUAAUCGGAAUUACUGGGCGUAAAGCGUGCGCAGGCGGCUUUGCAAGACAGAUGUGAAAUCCCCGGGCUCAACCUGGGAACUGCCAUUUGUGACUGCAUGGCUAGAGUGCGGCAGAGGGGGAUGGAAUUCCGCGUGUAGCAGUGAAAUGCGUAGAUAUGCGGAGGAACACCGAUGGCGAAGGCAAUCCCCUGGGCCGAUACUGACGCUGAGGAGCGAAAAGCGUGGGGAGCAAACAGGG